rnacentral:rRNA from 1 species
GACGAACGCUGGCGGCGUGCUUAACACAUGCAAGUCGAACGGAAAGGCCCUGCUUUUGUGGGGUGCUCGAGUGGCGAACGGGUGAGUAACACGUGAGUAACCUGCCCUUGACUUUGGGAUAACUUCAGGAAACUGGGGCUAAUACCGGAUAGGAGCUCCUGCUGCAUGGUGGGGGUUGGAAAGUUUCGGCGGGUGGGGAUGGACUCGCGGCUUAUCAGCUUGUUGGUGGGGUAGUGGCUUACCAAGGCUUUGACGGGUAGCCGGCCUGAGAGUGUGACCGGCCACAUUGGGCCUGAGAUACGGCCCAGACUCAUACGGGAGGCAGCAGUGGGGAAUAUGGCACAAUGGGCGGAAGCCUGAGGCAGCAACGCCGCGUGCGGGAUGACGGCCUUCGGGUUGGAAACCGCUUUCGCCUGUGACGAAGCGUGAGUGACGGUACUGGGUAAAGAAGCACCGGCUACCUACGU